rnacentral:rRNA from 1 species
AUUGCCUCAGUAACGGCGAGUGAAGCGGCAACAGCUCAAAUUUGAAAUCUGGCCCUUUCAGGGUCCGAGUUGUAAUUUGUAGAGGGUGCUUUGGCGUCGGCCGUGGUCUAAGUUCCUUGGAACAGGACGUCAUGGAGGGUGAGAAUCCCGUACGUGGCCGCCGGUCUUCGCCGUGUAAAGCCCCUUCGACGAGUCGAGUUGUUUGGGAAUGCAGCUCUAAAUGGGAGAUAAAUUUCUUCUAAAGCUAAAUAUUGGCCAGAGACCGAUAGCGCACAAGUAGAGUGAUCGAAAGAUGAAAAGCACUUUGGAAAGAGAGUCAAAAAGCACGUGAAAUUGUUGAAAGGGAAGCGCUUGCAGCCAGACGUGCCCGCAGUUGCUCACCCGGGCUCUCGCCCGGGGCACUCUUCUGCGGGCAGGCCAGCAUCAGUUCGGACGGUUGGAUAAAGGCCUCUGUCAUGUAUCUUCCUUCGGGAUGACCUUAUAGGGGAGGCGCAACACGGCCAGCCCGAACUGAGGACCGCGCAUCAGCUAGGAUGCUGGCGUAAUGGCUGUAAGCGGCCCGUCUUGAAACACGGACCAAGGAGUCUAACAUCUAUGCGAGUGUUUGGGUGUCAAGCCCGGGCGCGCAAUGAAAGUGAACGGAGGUGGGAACCCCUUCGGGGUGCACCAUCGACCGAUCCUGAAGUCUUCGGAUGGAUUUGAGUAAGAGCAUAGCUGUUGGGACCCGAAAGAUGGUGAACUAUGCCUGAAUAGGGUGAAGCCAGGGGAAACCCUGGUGGAGGCUCGCAGCGGUUCUGACGUGCAAAUCGAUCGUCAAAUUUGGGCAUA